rnacentral:rRNA from 1 species
GAUGAACGCUAGCGGCAGGCCUAAUACAUGCAAGUCGAACGGUGUCUUCGGACAUAGUGGCGCACGGGUGCGUAACACGUAUGCAACCUACCUUACAUUGGGGGAUAGCCUUUCGAAAGGGAGAUUAAUACCGCAUAAGACAGUAGCUGGGCAUCCAGCAGCUGUUAAAGAUUUAUCGAUGUAAGCUGGGUAUGUGUCCAAUUAGCUAGUUGGAGAGGUAACGGCUCACCAAGGCAAUGAUUGGUAGGGGAACUGAGAGGUCAAUCCCCCACACUGGCACUGAGAUACGGGCCAGACUCCUACGGGAGGCAGCAGUAGGGAAUAUUGGGCAAUGGACGCAAGUCUGACCCAGCCAUGCCGCGUGCAGGAUGAAGGCGUUAUGCGUUGUAAACUGCUUUUAUACAGGAAGAAACGACUCUUGCGAGAGGCAUUGACGGUACUGUAUGAAUAAGCACCGGCUAACUCCGUGCCAGCCGCCGCAGUAAAAC